AUGGCGUCCCGGUACCCUCGGCUGCGGAUCUGGCCGCAACUCUGUUGUUCCCCUUUUGCCAGAUUCAUUUCUUGGGCGGAUGGCGUGGCAAAAAAGAUCUUUUUUAGGCAAGAACACUUAGAUGAUGUUGUUCAGUACAAUUUUCAGCUUUUGAAAACAAGCACGGUGGACUUCCUCGACAGUUAUUACAAGUCCAUCAAGCUAGCUGGUCGGUUUUCGGUGGAUGAAAUUCUGAAAGGAAAAAUGCCAUCUUCGGCGAUUCCAACAGCUCUUCCCAGGAAAGAAAAUAUACUACUAUCUUGGCCGGCGCCGGGUCCGGGUUAUGUUGCCCUAACUGUCGAUGGAUCUUUCCAGGCAGCAGAUAGCUCGGCGGCCGCCGGAAUGGUGUUGCGCGACCAUCAAGGACAGAUCAUCUUUGCAGCAUACCGAGUCCUGUUCCACUGUAACGACGCUCUGGAGGCUGAACUUCACGCGCUCAUGCAGGGUAUGGCCUUGGCCAUCCAACACUCGGAUCUUCCAGUCGUCGUCCAGUCGGAUUCUGUCAUUUGGUUCUAG
rnacentral:rRNA from 1 species